GUGGCGGACGGGUGAGGAACACGUGGAUAACCUACCCGGGAGUGGGGAAUAACUACUCGAAAGGGUAGCUAAUACCGCAUACGUUCCCCUUAGUGACGUCUAGGGGGAAGAAAGCAGUGAUGCGCUCCCGGCCCGGGUCUGCGGCCGAUUAGCUUGUAGGUAAGGUAACGGCCCACCAAGGCGAUGAUCGGUAGCCGGCCUGAGAGGGUGUCCGGCCACACUGGGACUGAGACACUGCCCAGACUCCUACGGGAGGCUGCAGUCGCGAAUCAUUCACAAUGGGCGCAAGCCUGAUGAUGCCACGCCGCGUGCGGGAUGAAGGCCCUCUGGGUUGUAAACCGCUGUCAAGGGAGGGGAACCGUACGGUGUGAACAGCACCGUGCCUGACUGCUCUCUAAAGGAAGCCCCGGCAAAACAUGUGCCAGCAGCCGCGGUAAUACAUGUGGGGCAAGCGUUGUUCGGAAUUACUGGGCAUAAAGGGUGCGUAGGCGGUUUGUUAAGACAGAUGUGAAAUCCCCGGGCUCAACCUGGGAAUUGCAUUUGUGACUGCCCGACUAGAGUGUGUCAGAGGGGGGUAGAAUUCCACGUGUAGCAGUGAAAUGCGUAGAGAUGUGGAGGAAUACCGAUGGCGAAGGCAGCCCCCUGGGAUAACACUGACGCUCAUGCACGAAAGCGUGGGGAGCAAACAGGAUUAGAUACCCUGGUAGUCCACGCCCUAAACGAUGUCUACUAGUUGUUGGGUCUUAAUUGACUUAGUAACGCAGCUAACGCGUGAAGUAGACCGCCUGGGGAGUACGGUCGCAAGAUUAAA
rnacentral:rRNA from 1 species